rnacentral:rRNA from 1 species
UACAGAGGUGGCAAGCGUUGUUCGGAAUUACUGGGCGUAAAGCGCACGUAGGCGGUUUCUUAAGUCGGGGGUGAAAUCCUGGAGCUCAACUCCAGAACUGCCUUCGAUACUGGGAAACUUGAGUUCGGGAGAGGUGAGUGGAACUGCGAGUGUAGAGGUGAAAUUCGUAGAUAUUCGCAAGAACACCAGUGGCGAAGGCGGCUCACUGGCCCGAUACUGACGCUGAGGUGCGAAAGCGUGGGGAGCAAACAGG